rnacentral:rRNA from 1 species
ACCAAGACUAGUUCAAACAAUACAACUACUUAAAUAUACUCAUACUUAAACUAAAUCAUUCAAUUCUACUAGUAUAGGAGAUAGAAAAUUUUUUUUUUGGAACAAUAGAGAAAGUACCGUAAGGGAAAGAUUGAAAGAAACACUUAAAGUGAAAAAAAGCAAUGAUUAAACCUUUUACCUUUCGCAUAAUGGAUUAGCUAGACAAUCUUUGCAAAGAGGACUUAAGUAAACUACCCCGAAUCCAAUCGAGCUACUUAUGAGCAGCUAUAAGAGCCAACUCAUCUAUGUAGCAAAAUAGUGAGAAGACUUAUAAGUAGUGGUGAAAAGCCUAACGAGAUUGGUGAUAGCUGGUUACUCAGUAAAGAAUCUUAGUUCAACUUUAAAUUUACUAUAAGAAUUAUAACUAAAAUGUAAAUUUAAAAGCUAGUCUAAAGAGGUACAGCUCUUUAGACCCAGGGUACAACCUUAACUAGAGAAUAACUUUCUCUUCCUACCAUAGUAGGCCUAAAAGCAGCCAUCAAUUAAGAAAGCGUUAAAGCUCAACAAAAACCUUAAUAAAAUGUCAUAAACCAAAAUAAUUCCUAGAUAAUAACUGAGUUAUUCUACUAUCAAGUUAGAAGAAAUACUGCUAAUAUGAGUAACAAGAAAUAUUUCUCCUAGCACAAGCAUAUAUCAGAUCGAAUGAAUCACUGAUAGUUAACAAAUAAAUAACCAAAUCUUAUCAAUAAAUGCGUUAUUACAUUUUUUGUUAACCCAACACAGGAGUGCUCCAAGGAAAGACUAAAAAAAGUAAAAGGAACUCGGCAAACAUAAACCCCGCCUGUUUACCAAAAACAUCACCUCUAGCAUCAAAAGUAUUAGAGGCACCGCCUGCCCAGUGACGAUAGUUUAACGGCCGCGGUACCCUGACCGUGCAAAGGUAGCAUAAUCAUUUGUUCUUUAAUUAAGGACUUGUAUGAAUGGCUUCACGAGGGUUUAACUGUCUCUUACUUUCAGUCAGUGAAAUUGACCUCUCCGUGAAGAGGCGGAGAUAAAUUAAUAAGACGAGAAGACCCUAUGGAGCUUUAGUGAAUUAUUCAUUAGUACUUACAUUAUCCUAAAGGUAUAAAAUUUCAAUAACUGAAUAACUAACUUUGGUUGGGGUGACCUCGGAGAAUAAAAAAACCUCCGAGAGAUUAAAAUCAAGACUAACUAGUCUAAAUAUUUAAUCUUUUAUUGAUCCAAAAAAAAUCAUUUGAUCAACGGAACAAGUUACCCUAGGGAUAACAGCGCAAUCCUACUUGAGAGUUCAUAUCGAAAGUAAGGGUUUACGACCUCGAUGUUGGAUCAGGACAUCCCGAUGGUGCAGAAGCUAUCAAAGGUUCGUUUGUUCAACGAUUAAAGUCCUACGUGAUCUGAGUUCAGACCGGAGUAAUCCAGGUCGGUUUCUAUCUAUUCUAAAUUUCUCCUAGUACGAAAGGACCAGAGAAAUAGAGCCACCUUGCCAUAAGCGCCCUACAUAAAAUAGAUGAAUACAUCUUAAUCUUCAUACAAAUAUUUAUAACCCAAGAAAAGGGUUC